UUCGCCCUUAGAGUUUGAUCCUGGCUCAGGACUAACGCUGGCGGCGUGCCUAAUACAUGCAAGUCGAACGGUCGUGCGUUUGUAGCAAUAUGGACGUACGAUAGUGGCGAACGGGUGAGUAACACGUGGAAAACCUACCCUCGAGCGGGGGAUAACUCCGGGAAACUGGGGCUAAUACCGCAUGACAUCCCAACCUGGCAUCGGGAGGGGAUCAAAGCCGAAAGGCACUUGAGGAUGGUUCCGCGGCCUAUCAGCUAGUUGGCGGGGUAACGGCCCACCAAGGCGACGACGGGUAGCCGGCCUGAGAGGGCGAUCGGCCACAAGGGGACUGAGACACGGCCCCUACUCCUACGGGAGGCAGCAGUAGGGAAUUUUGCUCAAUGGGGGAAACCCUGAAGCAGCGACGCCGCGUGGGCGACGAAAUCCUUCGGGAUGUAAAGCCCUUUUAACCGGGGCGAAAUACAUGACGGUACCGGUGGAAUAAGCCUCGGCUAACUCCGCGCCAGCAGCCGCGGUAAGACGGGGGAGGCAAGCGUUGUCCGGAAUCACUGGGUGUAAAGGGCGUGUAGGCGGGCCGGCUAGUCGGUUGUUAAAUCUCUCCGCUCAACGGAGAAGCUGCGGCCGAUACUUCCGGUCUUGAGUGCGGCAGGGGAGGAUGGAAUUCCUGGUGUAGCGGUGAAAUGCGUAGAUAUCAGGAGGAACACCGGUGGCGAAGGCGGUCCUCUGGGCCUGCACUGACGCUGAGUGCGCGAAAGCUGGGGUAGCAAAAGGAAUUAGAUACUCUGGUAGUCCCAGCCCUAAACGA
rnacentral:rRNA from 1 species